GGGGAUGUCAUGGUUUCGACAGGUAUUGUCGAGCUGUUGAUGCGCCAGCAAGGCAGCGACUUGCUAAAAACGCUACAGUUAAAUAUAACUGCAAACAAAACAAACAACAAUUUCGCUUUAGCAGCCUAAGAACUGCGAGUGAAGAUCAGUCUGGCAUCACCCAUGUGCUCAGGUCCUGGUCUCAAAUUUAGUGGGUUACGAUUUAACUUUCCGUCUGCAAGUUAAGUAAGAGAUUACCAGACUCGCGAUAAUUGAUGCCAGUUUUUCGGCUAAAUUAGAGCUAAACUUUAAAUAGAAAAACUAUUGGCGUAGAGUUGAUAGUGGCGAGAUAUUUGGACAGGGGUUCGACUCCCCUCAUCUCCAUAC
rnacentral:tmRNA from 1 species